GAUGAACGCUGGCGGCGUGCCUAAUACAUGCAAGUCGAGCGAACAGACGAGGAGCUUGCUCCUCUGACGUUAGCGGCGGACGGGUGAGUAACACGUGGAUAACCUACCUAUAAGACUGGGAUAACUUCGGGAAACCGGAGCUAAUACCGGAUAAUAUAUUGAACCGCAUGGUUCAAUAGUGAAAGACGGUUUUGCUGUCACUUAUAGAUGGAUCCGCGCCGCAUUAGCUAGUUGGUAAGGUAACGGCUUACCAAGGCAACGAUGCGUAGCCGACCUGAGAGGGUGAUCGGCCACACUGGAACUGAGACACGGUCCAGACUCAUACGGGAGGCAGCAGUAGGGAAUCUUCCGCAAUGGGCGAAAGCCUGACGGUGCAACGCCGCGUGAGUGAUGAAGGUCUUCGGAUCGUAAAACUCUGUUAUUAGGGAAGAACAAAUGUGUAAGUAACUAUGCACGUCUUGACGGUACCUAAUCAGAAAGCCACGGCUAACUACGUG
rnacentral:rRNA from 1 species